rnacentral:tRNA from 1 species
UGCAUCGGCCGGGAAUCGACCCCGGGCCGCCCGCGUGGCAGGUGAGCACUCUCUCCACUGAAUUACCGAUGC